GACGUAGGGGACGAGCGUUGUCCGGAUUCAUUGGGCGUAAAGCGCGCGUAGGCGGACCUGCAAGUCGGGGGUGAAAGCCCGAGGCUCAACCUCGGAACUGCCUUCGAUACUGCGGGUCUCGAGUCCGGGAGAGGUGAGUGGAAUUCCUAGUGUAGAGGUGAAAUUCGUAGAUAUUAGGAAGAACACCAGUGGCGAAGGCGGCUCACUGGCCCGGUACUGACGCUGAGGCGCGAAAGCGUGGGGAGCAAACAGG
rnacentral:rRNA from 1 species